CCUACGGGAGGCAGCAGUGAGGAAUAUUGGUCAAUGGCCGGGAGGCUGAACCAGCCAAGUCGCGUGAGGGAAGACGGCCCUACGGGUUGUAAACCCCUUCUGUCAGGGAGCAAGGUGCAGGUCGGGACCUGCUGUGAGAGUACCUGAAGAAAAAGCAUCGGCUAACUCCGUGCCAGCAGCCGCGGUAAUACGGAGGAUGCGAGGGUUAUCGGGAUUUAUUGGGGUUAACGGGUGGGCAGGCGGAGGCACAAGUCAGCGGUAAAAUCGCGGGGUGCAACCCCGCUCGGGCGUUGAAAUUGGGUCGCUUGAUUGCGCGAAGGGUGGGCGGAAUGCGUGGUGUAGCGGUGAAAUGCGUAGAUAUCACGCGGAACUCCGAUCGCGAAGGCAGCCUACCGGCGCGCAACUGACGCUCAUGCACGAAAGCGUGGGUAUCGAACAGGAUUAGAUACCCGAGUAGUC
rnacentral:rRNA from 1 species